AGAGAGGAAACGGGAAUUUAGUUUUGAGUAUUCCGAAAAAUGCGUAAUUUUAUAUAUAGUGUACUUCAGUGUGAUCGCAUCCAAAAACUGAUGGAAUUAAUGUCAAACUGAAAAACCAGAAGUGAAUAUGGAUAACCAUUGCAGAAGCAUUUUUCACAGCAUCUUCAACUGGUUCAAGAGACUUUCAGUGUUUAAAAACGUUGUAGGAGAACCUUAAGAGGAAGGCUAAGGCGGCGUUUGCUGCGCAAGAAGAUAACCUAUAUGGCAUAGGUAUUAUACCUACGUCAUACAAUUAUUGACCUAAACAAAUGUAUUUAUGGUUUUUGUAGGACGAGAGUUAAGCAAAAAUAAUUUUAACCAAUCCUGUAGUCGAAACUGUUGUGGGGCUAA